GAAAAUGAGAUUAGUGCGCACAAAAAUAUAUUUGGAAAAAUUGGCUAGAACAUCUCAAAUUUAGUGAAAUACAUAAAUUUACAUAUUCAAGAAGCUCAAUGAACCCCAAACGGGCUCAAAAAUAGACUAAAAAAAGAAAACCAUACCCAAACAUGUUGUAAUUAAACCACCGAAACCAAACGUAAAGGAAAAUUACUGAAAGCAGCUGAAGGAAAACAACACAUAUAGGGGUACAAUUAUUGCAGGCCAAAAGAGUGAGGGUCGUGAUCAACUCAGUAUACCACUGGAGGCUAUAUGAGUAAACAGCAAACUGUUCUCAUAAAUGCAGAAUGUUGGCAAACUGUCAAACUGCGUCUGCCACCCAGAAGGAAUGCUGAGGGCAGUCACACCCCAAGCGCAGUGUUUCCUGUGAUUAGGUACAUCUGAAGCCUGUUAGUAAUAAUAUGAACCUGUGAUCAGUUAAGCAGCUGACCAAUCGUUACCUCCUCUUCCUUGCUUUUUCUACCCAAUAAAUACGAAGGGCUGUAGAAGCUCAGGGGCUGCCUUUGCUCACUAGAAGCAGGGAGCUCUCUUCUUCUUCCUCUGGCCCCUUCCUUUAAAACAGUUUCUGUUGUCUUAAGUUUUCAUUUCUAUGUUCGUCCCUUCAUUCACUCUUGUAAUGAUGGUCUCAAGUAGUGACAGUAGUAACUGCCCCACUGACGGUCUCAAGUAGUAACCGUGGCAGUCUGUCACAUGCAAUGAUUGAAAUGCAGACUUUUCCUUAGUAACCAGAGAGUGAAAAAAAAAUUUUUUUCCAAGGGCUUAAAACUGACCAAAGGUACUGUUUUCUGUUUAAAGAAGAGAUUAAUGAAAAUAAAAAUAGCUGCUUCACAGUAGAAAAUUUCUCAUUUUUGUUCAUGAAAUCACCACUAAUAGAAAAACGUACAGAGUGGAAGAAAGCAGAAUUGGGCAGAGUGAGAUGUUGAACUGCCAUAGCCGUUCAACAUGAGAUGUUGAAAUCCACCGCCCAGCACAUGGAGCUCUGAAGCUGGGACAACCUGCAAGAAUUGCCCAGGAUUGAGGCAAUCAGGAAAGGCUUUAUACUCCAUGUCACUGAUGCGUCAUUGGAUGUGAACUGUCCAGGAAACGGGCGUGACCUUCAGUGUGUAACUCUCUUUGGCUUAGGCAACUCAGAAGAGGACUUACAAUUGAAGGCUUUCUGCUAGCAACGCUUUCUGCUAGCAACACACCCUGCAACUGGAGGAACACAUUCUUGAGUCUGGAAGUAGAACCGGGUGCCCCACAGCAUCCGUUAUUCCUACACAUUACACUGGUAAAUUAUUUAUCCUUCAGAAGGUGCUGUCUCGAUUUGCACUCCUCUGUUAUUAAUGGCACUUUUUAAAAACUGAAAUUGUUUUUUUUUACGUAAUUUCUCCAACCACACGGUGAGUGUCUCAUGAGAAAGAAUGUUGUAUUCACCACCACCUAUUUCCUCAGUCUCCACUUUUCGGGCUGAACCCGAGAGCCAGCGUGCAGCGCAGCUGGGGGCGUGACCGACAUGAGAUGAAAACUGCGCAGACUCAGCAACUCAGCCCCAAUAGGAGGGCACGAGCCCCAGCGUCCUCGGUUUCCAUAGUGACAGAGCCUACUUCUGGUCUCUAACCGCCACGGUUUCCCUUCUUAGCUCCGGGCGCACCCAGGAAAGACAAAAAUACGCAUAAGGCCAGCCGUUUGACCCCUUGCUGCGGAAGAUAAAGGGCUCCACUCUAAACGUGGUGAUCCUGUUCACCCCUGGGAGCUGCUUGGCAGAACUGGCCCUACACACCAGGAAACUGGAGGAAGGAUGAAAGACUGGAAGGACUGUGGUUGUGGAGGAGACCAAAGGAAUGCCGCCCGCGGUAGAAUGUUGGCAGGUCUUGCAUAGCGCUACAGACACAACAUGUGGUGGCCUAAGCACCCUAAUUUCUUUGUUUCUGCCUAGCCAGUAUAACAGUCCAGAAAACCUCCUUUCCUUUAGGAAAUACUCAGGGAUAUUAAAAUCGAAUUCAGAAAAGAA